UACGUAGGAUGCGAGCGUUGUCCGGAAUUAUUGGGCGUAAAGAGCUCGUAGGCGGUCUGCCGCGUCUGCUGUGAAAUCCCGAGGCUCAACCUCGGGCUUGCAGUGGGUACGGGCAGGCUAGAGUGCGGUAGGGGAGAAUGGAACUCCUGGUGUAGCGGUGGAAUGCGCAGAUAUCAGGAAGAACACCGAUGGCGAAGGCAGUUCUCUGGGCCGUAACUGACGCUGAGGAGCGAAAGCGUGGGGAGCGAACAGG
rnacentral:rRNA from 1 species